UACGAAGGGGGCUAGCGUUGCUCGGAAUCACUGGGCGUAAAGCGCACGUAGGCGGACUCUUAAGUCGGUGGUGAAAUCCUGGAGCUCAACUCCAGAACUGCCUUCGAUACUGGGAGUCUUGAGUAUGGUAGAGGUGAGUGGAAUUCCGAGUGUAGGAGGUGAAAAUUCGUAGAUAUUCGGAGGAACACCAGUGGCGAAGGCGGCUCACUGGACCAUUACUGACACUGAGAAGCGAAAGCAUGGGGAGCGA
rnacentral:rRNA from 1 species